GACGAACGCUGGCGGCGUGCCUAAUACAUGCAAGUCGAACGGUCUUUUCUAUGGAAGCUUGCUUCCGCUGAGAAGAUAGUGGCGAACGGGUGAGUAACACGUGGGUAACCUGCCCAUAAGAGGGGGAUAACAUCCGGAAACGGGUGCUAAUACCGCAUAGUUUUCUUGAUCGCAUGAUUGAGAAAGGAAAGACGGCCUUUGUGCUGUCGCUUAUGGAUGGACCCGCGGCGUACUAGUUAGUUGGUGAGGUAACGGCUCACCAAGACGAUGAUACGUAGCCGACCUGAGAGGGUGAUCGGCCACAUUGGGACUGAGACACGGCCCAAACUCCUACGGGAGGCAGCAGUAGGGAAUCUUCCGCAAUGGACGAAAGUCUGACGGAGCAACGCCGCGUGAGUGAAGAAGGUUUUCGGAUCGUAAAACUCUGUUGUCAGAGAAGAACAAGUCGGAGAGUAACUGCUCGGGCCUUGACGGUAUCUGACCAGAAAGCCACGGCUAACUACGUGCCAGCCGCCGCGGUAAGAC
rnacentral:rRNA from 1 species